CAUCCACGCGCCGCGCCCGCACCCAACGCAACCCAAUCCCCUCGUCCCGCACGCCGUGCACACUCCGGUCCCCUCAUCCCGCACGAACCCUAGGAGAGAGAGAUAGGAAGAUGAGAGGGAGAGAAAGGGGAGAGGAGAGGAGAGGGAGGUUUGGCAGCGGACGAGAGAGGGUGACCGGCCGGCGUCGGCCUACACCGGCGAGGCGUCGGCCUGCGCCCCUCCUCGCGCACGAACCCUAGCUGAGAGACAAAAUGAGGGGGAGAGAGAGAAGGAAGGAGAGGAGGGAGAAAGAGAGAGGAAAGAGGAAAGGGAGGUGCGGCGGCUGACAGGAGAGAGGGUCAUCGGCCGGCGCCGGAGAGGACGGGCCUGACCUGGACGCGACCUGGAGGUUGGCGGCGGCUCGAUCCACUCCUGGAUCGGGAGCUGCGACGAGGCUGGGGCUCGGGCGCGUUGUACGGGAGGCUGCACUCCGCCUCUUCCUCAUGGUGCGGAGGACGGCGGCUCUUGCGGUCGUGCGGCUGACGGCGGCCUUGGUUUGCUGCUUCGUUAGCUCUUCUUCUUCACUGCCUUAAUUCCUAGGACAACCAUUUUGUUGCUUCCUGUACAAAUAGAGUGUGUUAGACUUUCUCUUUGUUUGUCUCAUCCCCUUCUUAAGUGACUGGUUCCUGCACGGUUAUUGGCUUCUCCAAUGGAUCAUGUAGGUAGAAACUAAAAAGAACUGGAUAAUUUCUUUUACCCUUCUUUUAAUUUCAAUAGGACUCCCGAGUUCAGAAUUGACAAUUCACAUCAUUAAUCAGUACAGAGCAGAUCAAUUGAUUUUCAUAAAAACGCAUAUUAGAAUUAUCAUUGGAUUGGUUUUCAAGUGCCUUUAUUAGACAUAUAGUGUAGAGGGAGUAAAUUAGUUUCACAGAAUGUUUCCUUGGAUUUUAGUUGCACUUCAUUCUGUUGUUUCGGUCUUUGUACAUUCAGAUGCUUUUUAAUUCAAAAGGAAACAACUCACAGAGGUUAUGUACGGGAGGCUACACUCUGCCUCUUCCCCGUGGUGCGGCGGACGGCGGCUCUUGCGGUCGUGUGCUGACGACGGCCUCAGCGGGUGGGCGACCAGUGGUGGUGCCAGGGGUUAGCUGUGUAGGCAACUGACUACACAACAUUUUGGCAUGCAUUAGUAGACAUCAAGCAAAAACCAGUUUUCACACAAGCAUAAGUAUUUGACAUCACAACGUUGAACUCUUGCCUUCGCCACUUUGGGCGACUACACUUGCAGCUGGCGCUCUACCCAUGGAUUCCGGCAUUAGCUCAAAACGCUCAGGACAAAUUAGGUCUCGGCCAAUGGUGGAGAAGACGGAGUACAGGGAUGAGCCGCUCGAGCACGGUUUGAUGGGAUGUUCGAGCGCAAGAUGCAGAAGUUCGCCAGAAGGAAGAAGAGCUGGGCGUCGAGGAGGAGAAGAAGGUGGUAUGCGAGGUGCUUGCAGGCCCAGCAGCAGGAGGCCGUCCUUGAGGUGCUCCUCUGGAUGGUCCCUUCCAGCGCUGGGCCUACGUGUUCAAUGCUGCCCUCACCAUCCCCUUCUUCCAUUGGCUCAUCGGCCCGUCAGAGUUCAGAGAUCUAAUACUCCGCACUGCCUCCCGUCCAUUUUCAGAUAUAUAUAUAUAUUUAUAUAAGGUUUAUCAUCACCCCAUGGAUCAUGUGUUGUUGAUUGACCAGGUUAUUGAGGUGGAGGUCAACGGGGUGAGGCAGAGAAGUGGAGUGCUCAUAAAGAAACGAAGAUAUGUAUGAAUAUGAUGGAUGCUUCCAUUGCCAACUAAUGAAAUGCAUGUCUCAUGCUCGCGCAGCUGCUGCCUGGACUCGCCACUGCCGCCGCCUCCAGUCGCUUCCGCCUAGGCAUCCUGUCUCUAGCAAGAUUGAACUGACCAAUCCGUGUGAUUGAGGAAUCCUUGUGGAGAAAAAGAAUUCAAGGAACUCCGCGGCUCCGAAUACAGAGGAUUUCAAGAAAAAUAAAUGUGCUGGAGCAAGAAAGGGAGCAUGGUAAGGACUGUGCCUACAAGAGUUUCUCUGUUCGUAUUGGUUGCCAUAUGCAGCUUACGGGUCUCAACUUAAUGAAUACAUCAACCGUGUACAGAAGGAAAAACUCAUUACAUGAAUCCUGAGUAGGUAUUUUUAGUCUUUCGCAAUGUAAUUUAUUUAUUUUUCUCUCAUAAUAUGUUAGGUUCGACAUUGGAAAAUAUUUGGCAUGAAUGGAGUUGAUUUAAAUCUUGAAAGACUUCGAUUGAGACCUAUGUGUAUGUGUGUUGCCAGCCAACUGUGGAAACUGAAAGUAGAGACACAAUUCACAUAAUGAGUAACAACUUCCGAUCCAAGUUUAACAACCGCAGCUCCAUUCUAGAUUGGUGUUUAAGUUCUGAAGUGUCGCUCUCCAGAUUUCUGUCUGUUUCCCUUUUAUUUACCGCAAUCUGCACUGUAAUGGCUAUAUAUAGAAUCACUAGAUUCAAGCCGUGUGAGGCAUCUACUUUGUUGUAAUUGGGCUUCCCUAGCAUCCAAUAUCAUGGUCCUGGCAACACUUUUCUCUGGGAGCAAUACAAACCUUGGGAGGCUCAUCUGAACCUUGAGUCAUUUCUCUGAAAUUUAUGAACUUUGCUUGCUGAAACCUCUUAACAUUUCUGGAGUCUGUCACCUGAUUGAUUCUUCACUUGGCAAAGCAGCAAGAGGAAUUUUGGCUGAUGCUAGAAUGAAAAGAAUUUGUACUGUACUUGGACUCGCCCUGAGUGCAUAUGGUUAGAUUUUAUGUUAAAGCUGGUGAGGCAUUGGCGUUAGUUGCUAUUACCAGAGACCAGCUGCCAGGGAUACUUUCUUGAACCUUUGUUUUCCUGUCGCUGUAUUGUAGCAUAAAAAUCUAAAAUGGGUCUAUCUAUUCAUUACAGCUUAUGGUUUCCUUUGUUUUUUCCAAUAACUAAUGCAUUUGUUCAUUCUUAACGUUUCUUGCUUCUAAUUGUGCAGCAAUCCUAAUCUUUAUUAUUUUCUCCAUGAUACAGUUGCUUACCUGUAUGUUCUUAUGUUCAGUGGUAUUUAGUGUACCGUAUAUGUGUCAGGAAGAUGCGAGUACCAGGGUGUUACCCAGCUCAAGUUCGAGAGGAACAGGCGGUCUGUUGCUGAAGAAAGAUACGUUUGAUAUGUCCGAGCGCCUCCCUUAGCAUGCUCUAGGUUUCAACGAUGUACCUAUAACAAGACAGUCUUACUAUCAAACAAAUAUUGCCUAUAUUUAUGACUGAUCAUGUAUAUAAAAAUAUGUUUGAUA